UACGUAGGGGGCAAGCGUUGUCCGGAUUUAUUGGGCGUAAAGAGCGUGUAGGCGGCUAGAUAGGUCCGUUGUGAAAACUCGAGGCUCAACCUCGAGACGUCGAUGGAAACCAUCUGGCUAGAGUCCGGAAGAGGAGAGUGGAAUUCCUGGUGUAGCGGUGAAAUGCGCAGAUAUCGGGAAGAACACCUAUGGCGAAGGCAGCUCUCUGGGACGGUACUGACGCUGAGACGCGAAAAGCGUGGGGAGCGAACAGGG
rnacentral:rRNA from 1 species